AUGAGAGAACGGAGCGAGCGGCAAGGUGACACGAGAGCCGCCCUCCUCCCUCCCGCCCAGGCAGCGAGCCCUCCGCCUCGGGGCCGCCGGAGCCGAGCCCCUCCCGCUGCCCGCGGGCAGCUCCCGAGCUCCCUCACCGCUCUCUCCUCGGGGCCGUUUCUCCGCGUCGCUGCCUCUGGUAAUAAGCCGAGGACAGGGGCGAGCCGCCGCUCGAGGCUCCGCUGCCGCUCUUCCCCUUCAGCCGAGCGGGGUGCGCGGCUCCGUCCGGCCCGGCCUGAGGUGAGGCCCUGCUCCCGCCGGAGCCCCUCCGCUGCGGCGCGGGGAGCGCCGGGCCCGCCUGUCCCCUCCGCCCCGGCUCUGCUGCACCUGCCGCGCUGCCGGGCUGUCCCUGCGGCGCGUGCCGAGGAGAGGAGAAGGCACUCUCUCUCCGUCCUCCCUCAACUUCUCAUCACUUUCCUCCGCCCCCGCUCGGCCCCACCGCGCUGCCGACCCGGCGCCCGCCCGCCCGCCGGACGCAUGCACCGGCGCCGCCGUCGACCCUCCGGAGAUGCCCUCGGGCACACAGGGAGCGGUCGCCCCUCGGCCCUGCACCUCGCCGGCACAGAGAGCUGCUGUCCCGCUCUCCGGGCGCCCUCCCGCCCCAUGCACUGCCCGGCUCCCAGGACGGCGGCGAGCUGCCGGCGGGGCAGGUGCCCUGUGCCCGCCUCUCGCGGGUGGGACCCGGCCGCGCUCCGCCAAUCAGUCCGUCAAUCUGGCGGGGAGGCCGCGGCCGUGCGAGGUGAGCCCGGAGCCGAAUUACUAAUGAUUUCCAAACUGCGUGCGCGAGUAAUAGCAUCUAGAGCCAUUCUUACCCUCCUGAAAAGAAGGAGGAAGACCUUCAGUACGAGGCUUUUUUUUAUGCUCAGGCUGUAA
rnacentral:lncRNA from 1 species